GCAGCGGUAGUUCAGCCGGUUAGAAUACCGGCCUGUCACGCCGGGGGUCGCGGGUUCGAGUCCCGUCCGCUGCGCCA
rnacentral:tRNA from 1 species